GUCGUAGGUUCGAUUCCCACCGUGGUCAGGCACAUUUUUAAAGCUUGCCCGGUGUGGAUAUACACUCAGAGUAACAACACAAGCAAAUUACAUAUUUAUUGGUUUCUGGUAUUUCAUGUGUUAAAACUUAAUUGUCUUAAAAACUUCAUUGUCUUAACAGACGUUUUGAAUUACGAAAGAAUGCGAGUCAUUCUUAGAUCUUGGCCAGUUUCAAAGAGUGACUUCUUCAGAGGAAAUUGAUUUCUGUAAUAAAGUUACUUGUAAAAACUUACUUGUAUGUAGGCAAAGUUUAAUGAUAUAAAAAUAUACUAAAACUUACUGUUAUGCAAGGGAGCCCUGAUUGGUUCUAAUUUCCUGCCGUUGCCAGGGAAACCAUUUAAGGAGGCUGGCGGUGUUUUCCAAGCAAGUGGUUUCAAAACCACUCCUGUGUCGCUAUUUUCUCCAUCGUCGCUCGGAGCGGUUUGAUUCCGUUUCGUUUUUUUCUUCUUUUUUCGUUUCUUUUUGCUUCCUGUUGUUUCGUUUCCAUUCUCGCUUGCUUGUCGAGUGUUUUCUGACAAGGGUGCAGACGUUAUCGAGUUUGAAUUCACUUCGUUAUCCUGUAAACGGUACAAAUUCUUCUAUAUUUUGGACACAUCUUGAUUAAAAUGUCAAAGCAAGCGCUUCUGCACACGUAAAAAUCUCACAACUUGUCAACAAGAUGGUUUGCAACAGGUUUGUAGCAAGCUUGUCAACAAGAUGUGUUUGCAACAGGCUUGUAGCAAGCUUGUCAAC